UGGAGCUGGUAAUAAUAAACUAAUGAGUGCCUGGAUGCUCCUGAGCCGAAGGUUCAGAAUGAGUCCAGGAACACCACUCUUAGCACUGCCGCUCCU
rnacentral:sRNA from 1 species